GGGAGUGAAAGGGUUCGACAGGGGUAAUGGAGAUAAUAAUGCAAGCCGAGUUUUGUCAAAUCUUGUAAAAUUGGCAAUUAAAAUUAACUGACAAGAAGUUAAAAGUUUUUGAACCAAUUGCAGUACAGUUUAAACAACCUGUUAUGCCAUUGGCUUUUGCUGCGUAAUUAAUUAGUAGCACAUCUGGUAAUAUUUUUAGCUUUUAGGGUAUUGUUGGGUGUAAAAUAUAAAAGCAAAUGUUUUAUUUUUGGCAAUAGGGAUAAAGCAUUAUUUUUUAUUGUCCGGUUAAAAAGUUUAAUGAAAAUAGAAAAUUUUUUAACUGUAAAAAUCUAUUUUCUAAGCUUGUAGAAAUUAUUAUUAAAAUGCUUUUGGACGCGAGUUCAAAUCUCGCCACUUCCAU
rnacentral:tmRNA from 1 species